AUGCGCCUGUCCCUCUCUCGGACUCUCCCGGACGGUCGCGUCCUGACGGUCUCAGAGAUGGCUGCCAUGAGGGCAGCGGCACGCGAUCUCACCCCAGGAGGCUUUCAUUUGAUGAGUUGCCUAAAAGAAGUUCCGACACUCAGAGGUGACAACCACACUGAGUGGAGGAAGAAAGUUGAACUGGCGUUUGUUUGUGCUGAUCUUGACUGGGUUGUGGAGAAACCACAGCCGGUCAGACCCACAGAGCCAGUAAGAGAGGCUACUGACGAUGAUGCUGCAUGGGCUAAAAGGAAAGGGGACUAUGCUCCUUUGGAGCAGUCCUACCUCAUAGAUAAUCAAAAGUGGGUCAAUGCAAAUAAAAAAUGCAUGGCUUUUAUAAAGAACACCAUUGAGAGCGCCAUUGUUGGCUCCAUUGGAGAGUGCACUUCCGCAGGGGAGUUGCUCUCAAAGAUAAAGAGCCAGUUCACUGGCUCUUCAAAGAUAUAUGCCACCCAGGUGUUAGAGCAACUGGUGACAGAAAAAUACACAGGUGGCAGUCAUGGCAUAAGAGAGCACAUCCUCAGGAUGAGCAAUAUGGCAGCAAAGCUCAAACCCAUGGAUGCGGAUCUGGAGAUCAAACCAGCGCUCCUGGUCCACCUUGUCAUGGCUUCAUUGCCGAAGGAGUUUGAAGCUUUUGUUGUGAACUAUAACAUGUCACCUGGAACAUGGGACGUAGAAAAGACAAUAGCAAUGUGUGUUCAAGAGGAGGAGAGACUAAAAGCCUCACAUGAUGGUACACUCAACUAUGUGCAUGGUCACAAAAGAAAGAAUUACAAUCAAAACAACAAAAGUUCUCCUUCAAAGCCACAAGGAAAAGUUUCCUAUCAGCAUCAGCGUCAGCAACAGCCUUUCUCAGUGGACAAAGACACUUGUCUCCACUGUAAGAAGACCGGGCAUUACAAGAAAGACUGUCCUGUUUGGCUAAAGUCGAUCAUGGCAAAAAGAGGGAUUCCAUUCGACGCGGACUACGCUAAGAAGCGAAAGACGCAUUGA
rnacentral:rRNA from 1 species